AACGAACGCUGGCGGCAUGCCUAACACAUGCAAGUCGAACGAGACCUUCGGGUCUAGUGGCGCACGGGUGCGUAACGCGUGGGAACCUGCCCUUAGGUUCGGAAUAACUCCCCGAAAGGGGUGCUAAUACCGGAUAAUGUCUUCGGACCAAAGAUUUAUCGCCUUUGGAUGGGCCCGCGUUGGAUUAGCUAGUUGGUAGGGUAAAAGCCUACCAAGGCGAGAAUUCAUAGCUGGUCUGAGAGGAUGAUCAGCCACACUGGGACUAAGACACGGCCCGGACUCCUACGGGAGGGAGCAGUGGGGGAUAUUGGACAGUGGGCGAAAGCCUGAUCCAGCAAUGCCGCGUGAGUGAUGAAGGCCUGGGGGUUGUAAAGCUCUUUUACCCGGGAUGAUAAUGACAGUACCGGAAGAAUAAGCUCCGGCUAACUCCGUG
rnacentral:rRNA from 1 species